UUUUCUGCCCCAGGUGUCUGCGAUGCUGGGACGGGCACUUCUCAGGACGGUCCUGCUGCUCUGGCUGGCCAGGCUAACGCUUCAGGGAGGCACAGGGUAUAAACCUCUAGGUGGUGCUGCGGGUAGAGAGUCAAUGCCAUUAAAAGGUUAUGGCUUGUGGUCAAAGGCAGCCAGCAUUCACCCUUCCAGGUUCAAAGGACUUGGUCACGGAGUUGCACAUUCCCAACUGCCUGGUAACAGUGCAG